rnacentral:rRNA from 1 species
UACGUAGGGAGCAAGCGUUGUUCGGAUUUAUGUACGUGGGCGUAAAGGGCGUCGUAGGCGCGUGUCAAGUUCGAUUGUGAAAUCUCCGGGCUUAACUCGAACGGCCAAUCGAUACUGACGUGCUAGAGUGCAGAAGGGCAAUCGGAAUUCUUGGUGUAGCGGUGAAAUGCGAUAGAUAUCAAGAGGAACACCUGAGGCGAAGGCGGGUUGCUAGGCUGACACUGACGCUGAGUGCGCCGAAAGCCAGGGGAGCAAACGGG